AUUGAACGCUGGCGGCAUGCCUUACACAUGCAAAUCGAACGGCAGCGCGGGCUUCGGCCUGGCGGCGAGUGGCGGACGGGUGAGUAAUGCAUCGGAACGUGCCCUGGAGUGGGGGAUAACGUAGCGAAAGUUACGCUAAUACCGCAUACGUACUGAGGUAGAAAGCGGGGGAUCGAAAGACCUCGCGCUCAUGGAGCGGCCGAUGUCGGAUUAGCUAGUUGGUGAGGUAAAAGCUCACCAAGGCGACGAUCCGUAGCUGGUCUGAGAGGACGACCAGCCACACUGGGACUGAGACACGGCCCAGACUCCUACGGGAGGCAGCAGUGGAGAAUCUUGGACAAUGGGGGAAACCCUGAUUCAGCAAUGCCGCGUGUGGGAUGAAGGCCCUCGGGUUGUAAACCACUUUUGGCAGGAAAGAAAUCGCCUGUGCUAAUACCAUGGGCGGACGACGGUACCUGCAGAAUAAGCACCGGCUAACUACGUGCCAGCAGCCGCGGUAA
rnacentral:rRNA from 1 species